AAGAGUGGCGGUUCUCUGUAUAAUAUAAAAAUAUUAACUGCAAUUCAUUCGAACUUGUAAUGUUAAUAGUUGCUGCAUCUGCUUCUGUUCACUGUUCAUUACCCAGCUGCAUGCAGUGGUGGCUUGUGGGGUUGAUGAAAGGGGGUGGACUUGAAAAUCUCAUCUUUGGAACGGAAAUCCUCCGACAAUGUACAAGUGCACAUAUAUAUGUAGUUACAUGUCUCUUCAAAUAACUAAUUAAUGAAAGUGACUAAAAUUUAACUUAAAUGGCAACAGUAAAGAGCUACCAUUAGAAGCCAAAAAGACACAGACGCGGCGACACACUGGAGCCAGAAACAGAGCCGCAGCCAGAGGUAGAGCCAGAGUUGGAGCCAAACCGAUGCCACAACUUCCAUGAGACGCGGCAUUGCUCACCAAAAAAAAAUUUGGCGCUUAUCUUUGCCGAAGCCACCUCAGCCAUCAGCGUCAAUUCGAAUUUGUUGUAUAUAUUGAGAGAUAAAAUAGCCGGCGGCUGCAAAAAUGUCUUACUACAUGGUGGGCAACUUCAUUGAUCGUCAUCAAUGCGCGGUCCACUCGCCACUCGUAUCAAAAAAUUCCUAGCUGCGUACUUACCUUCAAGCCCCGGGCACGGCCCUGGGGUCGACCUCAGCAACCCACUCGAGAGCUUGUCUGCAUCGCACUCUGCUUAUCUUCCGCCUCGUCGGACUGCUUUCAAUUAGAAGAGAAAGUUCUUGCUACAAAAAAGCGAAAAAGCUCAACACACAAAAACACACAAACAAAUAUUUCACCCGGGGGCAAAGAUGCUUUUACUUUUAGCUAUCGCCCCACCCAAUCGAGUAGACAAUAGCGAAAAUAUCUUAAAAAUUGCACCUCAUAAAUUAAGUAGUUAAUUUUUUACUGUUGAAACGGUGUCUCACUUUCAGCUCGACAGUGAGCGUAGCUGACAGUCACUGAUCAAACGAGAUUCUAAGAUUAACGGAGGGGAACCCUACGAAAUUACCAGAGGUGCACUACACCCAAAGUGUGCAUUGACAUGACAAUGAGCAAGCAAAAGAUUUUUUUAUUGAUACCAAUAAUAACACCAUUUCUAGAACACCAAAAAUCGAUGAUAAGCUAACGAAAGCUGAAACAUACUGAUUGUCUUAAUGGGUGACUGGAUGGUGACCAACGCGCAGCACAAUCCGUAAGAUUCGAAUAUGAAUAUGAAAAAAGUCAAAAAAAACAGAGCCAUAUAACUAUACUGUGCAGAAGUAACGCCAUGGACAUGUGUGGUAUGGCAUAAUAAUAAUUACAAUUUUCUUGUAUUUUUUUGUUUUGUCAACUAGAAUUCUGUCAUGUGUAUUAAUAAGCCAGUUGUCAAUAUGUCGAUUAAGUAGCUCGGUCCAUUGAAUUUGAAACUUGGGGCUUAAUUAUAUGAAUGAAAGUACAUCCGAGCCCCGAGAGUUGUAAGAUUAAGAGAUUGAGAGAUAAAGAAGUAUACUUUCGUGUCAGUCUAGUAGGGACAAAGAAGUUUAUUUGGCUGCUCAAGCCAGAGGAGACUCGUGAUUAAUUAUUGAAUAAAUAUUACACAAAGCAUCAUUCUACGAUAGAUUAAAGAUGACUCUACUGGAGUAUUUGACGGCAACUGCACACCAGAAUCCCAGUUUAAUUCACUAAGGGCAAAUAACACAAAAAUGUUUUUCUGCUCUGAUUCAACUCUGUCUUGAUGAAUCGAAUAUUGUGGCGACCAGACACGUAACAUAUUAAACUCCUUCUCGUUUAUAAUCAAGAGUGACACCAAUUUCAUUAACUUUAUCACCGUUACUGUUGUUGACACGUUCGAGCGGUAAGCUGUCAUAGAAAGUCUUUACCUUGCAUUUGGGACAGUUCAGAUUUGAGAGGUUAACUUGACACUAAGAAUAAAAGGAGAGUGACUAGAAUGCCAAGGAAGCAGUUUGAAGUGUUAGUCACUUCUCACGGGAUUGAAAUCCUCCAUUAUUUUUAAAGCCAUCAAUUACAAUUGAAGUGAAUUCAAGGUUAUUGUUUGCAGAUGAACACUUCAUGAACCCAUGCUGGUAUGGUGAAAUUGUUAAGCUUCAUAAGGGUUGUGGGAAAAGCGGUUAAUUUGGAAAUACCUCUAUAGUUCUUCCUUUUUUAUGGAGAGUAAUGAUAAAUGAAUAUUUAUCUCUUUAUAUAAAACUGUUUGUCCUGACUGACUGACUGAUUGGUGAUCAACGCACAGCCCAAACCGUAACAGCUAGGAAGCUGAAAUUUGCACUGUAGUUACCUUAUGUGAUGUAGGUGCACGUUAAGACGGGAUUUCGGGAAAUUCCACCCGCAAGUGUGGAAAAAUAGCGAAAAAAGUUUGUAUGUAACUUUUUUGUUUACCAUCCGAUCGGCCUCAAACUUAUUUUCAAAGAUCUUUGUUCAAAUUCAUUUGAGGGGUGGUGAUUUUUCUUAUAGAAACGUUUUCCGCCAAUUUACCACUGUUGCGGGUGGAAUUUCCCAAAUCGCUGAAAUACGUAUUUAUUAAGUUCUUAUGUAGAGCUUUGAAAAUAAGUUUGAAGCAAAUCGGACACAACUUAAAACUUCGCCCAAAAAUUCUUUAAAUCGCAUUCCCCCCGAAAAAGUUUGGAUUCUGCGAAAAAUGUGAAACACGUCUCAAAUGAUUUUUCUUAUAGAUCUUUGGAAUCGAAUAUGAGCGCGAAACAUCACCCACCAAAUCUUUGACCUCCAUUUCCACCAAGGAGGAAUGGAUUUUCCUUAAAGUGUGAAACACCCCUCAACAGAAUUUGAGCAAAGAUCUUUGAAAAUAAGUUUGAGGCCGAUCGGAUGGUAAACAAAAAAGUUACAUACAAAGGUUUUUCGUGAUUUUUCCACACUUGCGAGUGGAAUUUCCCAAAUCGCUGAAAUACGUAUUUAUUAAGUUCUUAUGUAAAGCUUUGAAAAUAAGUUUGAAGCAAAUCGGACACAACUUAAAACUUCGCCCAAAAAAUCUUUGAAUCGCAUUCCCCCCGAAGAAGUUUGAAUUCUGCGAAAAAUGAAAAACACGUCUCAAAUGAAUUUUCAUAUAGAUACUUGGAAAUGAAUUUGAGGGCGAAACGUCACCCACCAAAUUUUUGACCUCCAUUUCCACCAAGGAGGGAUGCAUUUUCCAAAAAGUGCGAAACACCCCUCAAAUGAAUUUGAACAAAGAUCUUUGAAAAUAAGUUUGAGGCCGAUCGGAUGGUAAACAAAAAAGUUACAUACAAACGUUUUUCGCUAUUUUUCAACACUUGCGGGUGGAAUUUCCCGAAAUCCCGUCUUAACGUGCACCUACACCACAUAAGGUAACUACAGUGAAAAUUGCAGCUUCCUAGCUCUUACGGUUUGGGCUGUGCGUUGAUCACCAGUCAGUCAGUCAGUCAGUCAGUCAGUCAGUCAGUCAGUCAGUCAGUCAGUCAGGACAAACAGUUUUAUAUAUAGAGAUUAAGUGUUUACAAACAACAUAGAAAGUUUAAAAAUAGGUUUGAAAAGUGCUGCACACUACUGAAGCACACAAUAUCAGGGCCCGCUGAGCGUACCGGCUUGAGUAUGUUAAGGUCGUUGAGUAGCCGCCAUUGACUUUCCUUAUAAAAUAAGGAAUUUUCUACAGAAAAGAUUAAUCCCAUUUUCAAGAGCUUAUAAAAAUGCGCGUUAUGAAACCAACCGUUAUGAGAGGAUUCCCUCUCCUGGUUUUAAUUCUUUAAUAGGGGCACGAUAGAAGAACUCAUGUCAAUAAAUAAAUGACGUAGAGGAGAAGAGAAGGGUUGAAUCCAUUGACCAGGACCAAGCGACAUCUUGAAGUCUCUAAGAACAACCAAGAGAUGGCUCGGUGGUUGAGAUGCUUAAUAAGUUCCGAUGAAAAAAUAAAUUCAACGGCUAUGAGUAUAAGGUAGAAGGAAGAUCGAUCAAAGCUGGGAGGAUUUUCUGAAGAAUCUGAGUUGUCAAUCUAUAACUGUAGUAUAAGAGAAUCUACCUAAAGGUUAGGAAGUUUAAGAUUUAAGAAUAUCUGAUGUAUUUACGUUUUGACGUUGUAAUUCAUGUUAAGGUUCUACUAGAAAAAGGUUGUAAAAGCGGUUGUGAAUCCGAGUGGUUUGGUUUUUAUUCUUUAACUGUUAAGUGUUCCGCCGAGAACUCUUUACAGCAGAAAUUUUUAAACAUUUCAGGUGGAACAUUUAUUUAUACUUUAAGACGAUAAGAUGAGAAAUGUAGGGCAGCCAGGAAUUAAAAAUAUGCUUUUCCGGCGGAACGCUCAUUUGAGUCCUAGGCCACACAGCUGUGACAGUGGGAAUACUAUCAGCCUGACGACGAAUUGUCAAGUGGCAGCUGAUCUAAUUUCUGCUGUAGAUCUGUGAAAACUAUAAGCAGCAGACUACUCGGAUAAAACGUCUGGAUUUUCUCCUUCCGAAAUUAGAUGAGCCGCUGUGUAAUCGGAAUCGUUGGCUGCAGAGUUUAAUUCGGAAGCUGAAUGAGACCGUAUAAGCACCUGCAUCCAUACAUGAGUCCCAACUAGAGUCCUAAGCAUCUCCCACUGGGGCAGUGUGAUCGGUGUAUUUUGAAUACCCACAGUUUUUACAUAGCCAACAUUCUUUACUGUACCAAAGGUAUCCAAGAAUAGAAAAGAGUGUAUUCAUUCUACAUUCUACAACCAGUAAAUCACGUAACGUCACUGAAAUCGCGAAUUUAAAUAAUAUGUUGGAUUUUAACAUUUUCAACUUGCCAUUUUUGCCCAAACUAAUUUGGAACCCUUUUUUUUCCAAGAGCGAUGGAUUUUGAGAGCGUUGUCCGUGGCAAGUUUUUUACUUCAAAAUGCAAAUAUCUUUCUUUUACCCAUUUCCAGCCUGUGGAAAAUUUGUAUGUAUCUAAAAUCAAUAUUUAAAAUUUGCAAUUUACAUAUUAUUUCCAUGAUGAAAAUAUUCUUUCUUUGAACCGCAUUUUCAAUGCAAGGAGGGAUGAGGAUUCUGCGAAAAGUGUGAAAGACGUAUCAAAUUAAUUUCAGACAGAUCU